UUACACGCUGACAUGUCCAAGAAAAGAAAAAAACGGGUGGAGUCUCUUGAAUCGGCCCCAAAUGCAUCACAUCCGAACGCAAUUUCACUCUCACCUCAAACCCUACCACUAUUUUUCCCUCACAACUGCCUCACCCCAAAUGCAAAAAACCUCUCAUGAAUCAUCUCAUGCGAGGAGAUCUAAGGCUGCAAGAUUGAAGCCCACUGUACGCAGCAGAAUCAGCCGUCGUUGAGGCCUUCUUCUCCGGCAAAAUCUCCAACUGUAGGGGUUCCAGCCUCGACUUGAUUUCGACAAAUUUCAGUUUCGCCUCUCCACUUGCAGAUCAUUUGCAGGACCUUGAAGCUUGAUGCGUUGAUUUGGCUCGUUGAAUCCAAAGGGUGAGAGGGAAAGAGCUCUUAAAAAGUAGCCGGAGAAAAACUACAACAAAAUAAACAUGCCGGGAAAGAACUCCGAACUUUGUCAUAGAUGGAGAGGGAAGGGUCACUUGUUUGCUGAUUGCCCAAACAAAAGGCGAUGCCCCUUGUGUAUAUGUGGAAUUGUGAAGUGCUUUGAGGUCGAGAGGGAGACAAAGAACAAGGGAAGAUUGCUCUAGUGCUGCAGUGCUAAUUGUAAAUAUUGGGCAUGGGUCGAUGAGGGAGAAUCAAGCAGUGGGUCAAGUAAUGUUACUGUGAAUUCGAAUAACCAUGCAUCACUUGAAGAUGUUUAGCAGUUCUCUCGCAUGUUCUAGUCUCUUUGUUAUGUGGUCUUUAAGGAAUGAAACAUUGAGAUUUCUUUAAAUGCGACAAUAAGGAAUGGCAAUGAAAGUGCGAAAGUGGAUGUGAAAGGGAAGGGGCCAGCAUGAUUUGUGGUUAGCUGAAUAAGUGAUUAGAGUAGUUGAUGUAUUAAUAUUGGUGUUUGCACUAAGGUGUUGGCUAGAAAAUUAUUCCUCGCAAACGGUCAUGUUGUUGUCUUAAUGUGAUUAUUUUGGCUUGAAGUUAUUUUUAUGUAAAGCUAUUGUGUGUGAAA